rfam:Oryza brachyantha chromosome 11, whole genome shotgun sequence.
ACGACCUUACUUGAACAGGAUCUGUUCUAUAGGCUCGUACGGUUGCAUCCUUUACUACGAAGGAGGCAAGCACUCAUGUCUGGUUGAUGACACAUGACCUCUGGGCCUGAGCGUGAUUAACGGCCAGGGGAUGCGCUGCGAUCGGGGCCAUCUGACGGCUGUUGAGGAUCGCUCCUGCCUGGAAUCAUUCCUGUGCAGAGACUCCCAUGAUUUUUUAUUUGGUU